GUAGUUUGUAACGAUUAUCGUUACUUUUUCGACAAAAAUAUGGUACUACACAGUCUACUUUCGUUUUCGAUGGUGCAAAAUGGAGCAGAAGAAAAUUCACGAUGCACCUAAACAAUUAAAAUCCUCGGUGUGGAAGCAUUUCGGGUUUUAUCAGCAUACUAAUUCAACAGAACUUGACAGAGCAAACGCUAUUUGCAAAGUAGGAGCUGAAAGUAUUUUUAAGACUCAUUUACUGAUGCAUUCGGUGCACAUUUAUUUAAGUAUAUAUUUGGUAGGCAAGACAGACGUAUCCCGCGUGGGACUCAAACAGUAGACCUUCGGCUAAAAAGGCUGACGUACUAACCACUUCUCUUAGGCUACGAAUACAAACAAUGACAACACUAAAAUCUUCUUCAGUUUGAUGGUGGUGAACACUCAGCCAUGGUCGCUGCAGAUGCCUGCACCAGGAAAUGUUCUUGUGUUCGCCUUGUUGAUGCUAGACUUGAACCGUUGCGGCUCCAGUUUGGAGCAUGUCAGAUUGCUGUAAUGGACUGUUUGUGUGGAUGUUGCGUGAU